rnacentral:rRNA from 1 species
UACGGGGGGGGCAAGCGUUGUUCGGAAUUACUGGGCGUAAAGGGCUCGUAGGUGGCCAACUAAGUCAGACGUGAAAUCCCUCAGCUUAACUGGGGAACUGCGUCUGAUACUGGAUGGCUUGAGUUUGGGAGAGGGAUGCGGAAUUCCAGGUGUAGCGGUGAAAUGCGUAGAUAUCUGGAGGAACACCGGUGGCGAAGGCGGCAUCCUGGACCGACAUUGACGCUGAGGCGCGAAAGCCAGGGGAGCAAACGGG